CCUACGGGUGGCAGCAGUGGGGAAUAUUGGACAAUGGGCGAAAGCCUGAUCCAGCCAUGCCGCGUGUGUGAAGAAGGCCUUCGGGUUGUAAAGCACUUUCAGUGGGGAAGAAAGCCUUGGGGCUAAUACCCUCGAGGAAGGACAUCACCCACAGAAGAAGCACCGGCUAACUCCGUACCAGCAGCCGCGGUAAUACGGAGGGUGCGAGCGUUAAUCGGAAUUACUGGGCGUAAAGCGCGCGUAGGCGGUCUGAUAAGCCGGUUGUGAAAGCCCCGGGCUCAACCUGGGAACGGCAUCCGGAACUGUCAGGCUAGAGUGCAGGAGAGGAAGGUAGAAUUCCUGGUGUAGCGGUGAAAUGCGUAGAGAUCGGGAGGAAUACCAGUGGCGAAGGCGGCCUUCUGGACUGACACUGACGCUGAGGUGCGAAAGCGUGGGUAGCAAACAGGAUUAGAUACCCCAGUAGUC
rnacentral:rRNA from 1 species